AUGGCCAUACCAUGCUGAAUAUACUGGUUCUCGUUCGAUCACUGAAGUCAAACAUCAUCGGGCGCUGUCAGUACUUGGAAGGCUGACCACCUGAGAGCACCACAUGCCGUU
rnacentral:rRNA from 1 species